GGUAUGGCUGUUAUAUAUGGCCUUAUAGUGGGUGCAAUAAUCAGAUAUGCAAGCAGUACAAAUCAAGUCACCCAUAUUGAUGCUCAUCCAGAUGCAGAUGCCAAAUACAACUUGUCUGUUCCACCAGACAUUGUGCGAUUUCAUUUCCCUGACAAAAUACAAAUAUCCUCUGGUGAAGCGCCUAUACCAAACAAGACAUACGCAUAUAGCUUCAGGGGUGAGAUAGUCAAUCUGGAGCAAAAUGAAAUUGAUCUGAAAGCAACAUUUGACCCUG